ACGACUGCAUUGGUUAAGGUUGUACAUGAUAUUUACAACAAUUUCGACGCCAACUCGUGCACUGUCAUGGUACUUGUGGAUUUUUCCCUGGCAUUCAACUGUGUACGACACGCAAAGCUACACCAAAAGCUACAGAGGGAAUUCGGUUUUGACCAGUCAGCUGUCCAGUUGAUCGAGUCCUUCUUACAAGAUAGAAGCCAAGUGGUCAAGCUUGGAGAAGAAAUAUCGGCAGAAAGGAUUCUUGUAGAUGGUACAGUGGCCACACUAUUAUGGGUCACCUUGUCACGAUUAUUAGUCACUCUGUUCCACAUGCAAUGUAAAUGCAAAUGACCCAUAUUAGUGGGUGACCCAUAAUAGUGUGACCACUGUACUCCUCAGGGAUCGUGCCUCAGUGCGUUGUUGUUCAGUUUAUUUAUCAAUAGCCUACCAACCAUGCUAAAGUGUGAGUAUCAUCUUUACGCGGAUGAUCUUCAGAUCUACGUAUCUGGACCUAUUGAUGACGUAGAUAGGUUGGUUCACAGUAUCAACGAAGAUUUGGGCUCCAUAGAACACUGGGCAGCAAUGAACAACCUCUUCCCGAAUCCGAAGAAAACCCAAGGCAUAGUUUUCUGCAAGGCAGGACGGAUCACUCCUAGUCUCGACAUUAGGUUCUGCGGGGAGACCACUGACUAAACUGACGUGGUGGCUAGAGCAUUUUGCUUCAUGAAUAAUAGCCAAAUAUUUGAAUGAAAAUACGUUGGAACACUAACUCCAUCUGGUGGUUUUUGUAAAGAAACACUUUGACGGACAAAUCUUUAGCACUCCGAGGAAAAACUACACAUGUUCGGGUAAAAAUACGAGGAAUAUAUUUAAUCAUAUUUGGGAAAUAGAGAAUACAAAAAUCUAAACUUUCCUUUACGAAAUAAAAUUUUCUAGACUCAAAUAUAUUGCUUUAGAAUCAGACUCACAUGAUUGUCGAUAGUUUUG